GCGUCUAUGAUGACAAACCAAUGUCAUCAAGAGAGGUGCUGACAUAAAUAUCAUGCUCAGGGGAGUACGCUGAGGCCC
ensembl:snoRNA SNORD115 Small nucleolar RNA SNORD115